AACAAAAAGCUUGCUGUAGAAGUUUCUGGAAUAAUACAAGAAAAACGUGAACUACUUGACAAACAUAGCUUUGCGGAUAAAGAGAAUGAGAAUUUAGAGCCAUCUUUGAAACAUUCCAGCGUUGAGGAGUCCAAUAAAGCACAAGCUUUGAAGGAAACACAUGAAAAGCUGGAGAGUUGCAAAUUCAACGAACAGGAUGACGUUUUCUUUUUAGAAAAACAAUUAGAAAAAGAGAAAUCUGAACAUUUUGAACAAAAUGCAUUG